rnacentral:misc_RNA from 1 species
GAUGAAGAACGCAGUGAAAUGCGAUAAGUAGUGUGAAUUGCAGAAUUCAGUGAAUCAUCGAAUCUUUGAACGCACAUUGCGCCCCUUGGUAUUCCAUGGGGCAUGCCUGUUCGAGCGUCAUUUGUACCUUCAAGCUUUGCUUGGUGUUGGGUGUUUGUCCUGAGGGACUCGCCUUAAAGUAAUUGGCAGCCAGUGUUUGGUUUUGAAGCGCAGCACAAGUCGCGAUUCAAGGCUAUACACCAGCUUCCACAAGCCUUUUUCACUUUUGACCUCGGAUCAGGUAGGGAUACCCGCUGAACUUAAGCAUACCAAUAAGCGGAGGA